rnacentral:rRNA from 1 species
UACAGAGGCCCCAAGCGUUACUGAGAAUCACUGGGUUUAAAGGGUGCGUAGGUGGUCCGUUAAGUCUAUUGUGAAAUCCCCGGGCUCAACCCGGGAACUGCUUUAGAUACUGGCGGACUUGAGGCCAGUAGGGGUCACUAGAACUGACGGUGGAGCGGUGAAAUGCGUAGAUAUCGUCAGGAAUGCCGGUGGUGAAGACGGGUGACUGGGCUGGUUCUGACACUGAGGCACGAAAGCGUGGGGAG